GACGUAGGGCGCGAGCGUUGUCCGGAUUUAUUGGGCGUAAAGAGCUCGUAGGCGGCUUGUCGCGUCGACUGUGAAAACCCGCGGCUCAACUGUGGGCUUGCAGUCGAUACGGGCAGGCUGGAGUUCGGUAGGGGAGACUGGAAUUCCUGGUGUAGCGGUGAAAUGCGCAGAUAUCAGGAGGAACACCGGUGGCGAAGGCGGAUCUCUGGGCCGAUACUGACGCUGAGGAGCGAAAGCGUGGGGAGCGAACAGG
rnacentral:rRNA from 1 species